CAUUAUCAUGCCAUGCAACACUUGAAGGUGCAUCAUUUCAGGGCCUUGGUUUCCAACUAUCAGGUCAUCCAUCUCUUAGACAAAACCCGACUUAGACUCCACUGGUAGCUUCAAUACAUGGAGGCCUGGAACAGCAAGGCGAUAUUCAGUUCAUGCUCAGACUUUGUUCUGGAAUCAGACGACAGCAAUCUUGGCUGGGUUGCGACCUGCAAGGGCUCAGUAACAGAGGGGCCUUUGGACCCUCGACAAGAGGAACCUGCACAGUAACUGCCUAAAAUUAAUUGCGGGUUACUUCAACAUCCACAGUUUCACCAAAUUGGAUGUUAUCUUUUACCUUGUGUCCUUUAGACAUGUCUCAGAUGUUUGAGCAUUUGACAUGGAUUCUAUGGACAGUCUGGA